GAUGCUGUAAUGGUGAGACUCUGGAGCCUUCCCGAGGACCUGGAGAAGACUUGCUGCUGAGAAGGACAUUUUGAAGGUUUUGUUGGCUGAAAAAGCUGUUUCUGGAAUCACAUCCCUAGAUCUUUCUUGAAGACUUGAAUUAGAUUUGGGCCAUGGGGACACAGAAGGUCACCCCAGCUCUGAUCUUUGCCAUCACAGUUGCUACAAUUGGCUCUUUCCAGUUUGGCUACAACACUGGGGUCAUCAAUGCUCCUGAGAAGAUCAUAAAGGAAUUUAUCAAUAAAAGUUUGACGGAGAAGGCAAAUAUCCCUCCCUCUGAGGUGCUGCUCACGUCUCUCUGGUCCUUGUCUGUGGCCAUAUUCUCCGUCGGGGGUAUGAUCGGCUCCUUUUCCGUUGGACUCUUCAUCAACCACUUUGGCAGGCAUAAUUCAAUGCUGAUUGUCAACCUGUUGGCUGUCACUGGUGGCUGCCUUAUGGGACUGUGUAAAAUAGCGAAGUCAGUUGAAAUGCAGAUCCUGGGCCGCUUGGUUAUUGGCCUCUUCUGCGGACUCUGCACAGGGUUUGUGCCCAUGUACAUUGGAGAGAUCUUGCCUACUGCCCUGUGGGGUGCCUUUGGCACUCUCAACCAGCUGGGCAUCGUGAUUGGAAUUCUGGUGGCCCAGAUCUUUGGUCUGGAAUUCAUC